UCAAGCUCUCAGAUAUACAGAUAAUUAA
rnacentral:piRNA from 1 species